rnacentral:rRNA from 1 species
UGGAUCCAGACUUUGAUCAUGGCUCAGGACGAACGCUGGCGGCACGCUUAACACAUGCAAGUCGAACGGAGAAUAUCGAAGCUUGCUUUGAUAUUCUUAGUGGCGGACGGGUGAGUAACACGUGAGUAACCUGCCUCUGAGAGUGGGAUAGCUUCUGGAAACGGAUGGUAAUACCGCAUGAAAUCAUAGUAUCGCAUGGUACAAUGAUCAAAGAUUUAUCGCUCAGAGAUGGACUCGCGUCUGAUUAGCUAGUUGGUAAGGUAACGGCUUACCAAGGCGACGAUCAGUAGCCGGACUGAGAGGUUGAUCGGCCACAUUGGGACUGAGACACGGCCCAGACUCCUACGGGAGGCAGCAGUGGGGAAUAUUGCACAAUGGGGGAAACCCUGAUGCAGCGAUGCCGCGUGGAGGAAGAAGGUUUUCGGAUUGUAAACUCCUGUUGAAGAGGACGAUAAUGACGGUACUCUUUUAGAAAGCUCCGGCUAACUACGUGCCAGCAGCCGCGGUAAUACGUAGGGAGCGAGCGUUGUCCGGAAUUACUGGGUGUAAAGGGAGCGUAGGCGGGACGGCAAGUCAGAUGUGAAAACUAUGGGCUCAACCCAUAGACUGCAUUUGAAACUGUUGUUCUUGAGUGAGGUAGGGGUAAGCGGAAUUCCUGGUGUAGCGGUGAAAUGCGUAGAGAUCAGGAGGAACAUCGGUGGCGAAGGCGGCUUACUGGGCCUUUACUGACGCUGAGGCUCGAAAGCGUGGGGAGCAAACAGGAUUAGAUACCCUGGUAGUCCACGCCGUAAACGAUGAUUACUAGGUGUGGGGGGACUGACCCCUUCCGUGCCGCAGUUAACACAAUAAGUAAUCCACCUGGGGAGUACGGCCGCAAGGUUGCAACUCAAAUGAAUUGACGGA